rnacentral:rRNA from 1 species
UACGUAGGGGGCUAGCGUUGUCCGGAUUUAUUGGGCGUAAAGAGCGUGUAGGCGGCCUGGUAGGUCUGCUGUGAAAACUCGAGGCUCAACCUCGAGAUGUCGGCGGAAACCAUCUGGCUAGAGUCCGGAAGAGGAGAGUGGAAUUCCUGGUGUAGCGGUGAAAUGCGCAGAUAUCAGGAAGAACACCUAUGGCGAAGGCAGCUCUCUGGGACGGUACUGACGCUGAGACGCGAAAGCGUGGGGAUCGAACAGG